UUCCCGUCCGAUCACCAAAGUUAAGCAAUGUCGAGUCUGGCCAGUACCUAGAUGGGUGACCGUUUGAAAAUACCAAGUGCU